rnacentral:rRNA from 1 species
UUUUUUGAGAGUUUGAUCCUGGCUCAGGAUGAACGCUAGCGGCGUGGAUAAGGCAUGCAAGUCAUGGGGGUGCUGAUACUGAGCGCAAGCGAAGUAGAAGUAUCACCGGCAAACGGGUUAGUAACACGUAGAUACUUACCCCAAACACGGGCAUAGCUAAUCGAAAGAUUAGAUAAUUCCCGAUAGUCCCUGAGGCGUAAGCCGAAGGGUAAAGAAGCAAUUCGGUUUGGGAAAGGUCUGCGGCUUAUCAGCUUGUUGGUAGGGUAAUGGCCUACCAAGGCAAUGACGGGUCGGCGGAGCGAGAGCUUGUCCGCCAACAAGGGUACUGCGACACGGACCCUACUCCUACGGGAGGCUGCAGUCGAGAAUAUUGGGCAAUGGGGGAAACCCUGACCCAGCGACGCCGCGUGCAGGAAGAAGGUCUUAGGAUUGUAAACUGCUUUUAUCGUUGAGCAAGCCGCAAGGCUGAGUGUAAAUGAUGAAUAAGAGGGUGCUAACUCUGUGCCAGCAGCAGCGGUAAUACAGAGCCCUCAAGCGUUAUCCGGAUUUAUUGGGCGUAAAGAGCGUGUAGACGGAUCGUUAAGUUUUCUGUUAAAUCUUCAGGGCUUAACCUUGAAGCUGCAGAAAAAACUGGCGGACUAGAGGGCGCUAGGGGUUGAUAGAACGCUCGGUGUAGGGGUGAAAUCCGUUGAUAUCGAGCGGAAUACCAAAAGCGAAGGCAUUCAACUGGGGCGACCCUGACGUUGAGACGCGAAAGCGUGGGGAGCAAAAAGGAUUAGAUAAAUCCUUGUUCCGAUUUUUAUCGGAACUAAACGGUGUCCUCCGUAUUGGCAACAAUGCGGUGAGUAUCUAGCUGUAUCGGGGAAAUCCAUUUUAGUUUAAUGGGCGAUCCCGAGGGAAGUCGCGUCUUCUUAAGAUAGCGACCCCGUAGAGACUAUGUAAAUUAAAAAAUAGAAAAUGAUAAAAUCAUUUUUGUUAAGUAAGAGCAAAGAAAUCAUUCUAGGUUCUUUGCUCGGAGACGGUUCUUUGAGGAUUCAUAAAAACUAUAAAAAUGCUCGUUUUUCAUUCCGUCAUUCUAUUCAUCAGAAAGAUUAUUUUCUCUGGAAAGUAGCGCAAUUAAAGGAUAUUUCAGGAAAAAAUUGUUAUUGGAUGUCAAGGGAUAAAGAUGGAUUUGGCGGAAAAAAAUUGAGAUAUCAAAGCAUUGUAGCACAAGAAUUGACCGAUCUGUAUAAUUUAGUCUGUAAAAAAGACAGAUUAAAAAUCCAGCGAAAAUGGCUUAAUUUAUUAACGCCGUUAUCGUUGGUAAUUUGGUGGAUGGACGACGGUUCGAUUAUCGGAAACGGAAGAAAAGGAGUGUUCUGCACAGAAAGUUUUUCUUAUGAUGACCAAAAGAUUAUAGCUCGUUAUCUAAGAGUUAUUUGGAAAGUAGAGGUUCAUAUAGGAAAAAUAAAAAGAGCAUGGAAUGGAAAAGAGAAAAUUUAUUAUCGUUUAUGGAUUCGUUCAAGCGAAGAACUUAAAAAAUUAUUAAGAAUUAUUCUUCCGCAAUUAAAAGUUCAAUCAAUGUUGCCGAAGUUUUUAAUUCUUUACAAAGAUAUUAAUUUACAACAACGCUGGAUUUCUGAAGUUAGCAAGUUGACAGGUUUUUCUAUGGAAAUUGUUGAAAAAUAUGUUUCUGAAAAGAAACAUAAAUGGAAAGCUUACGAAAAAUCUUCAGAAAAUGAUAUAGUCCGAUCCUCCGAGUAAUCGGAGUAGAACAUAAAAAUCUACAAGAUGACCCUUGUAGUCCACGCUGUAAACGAUGGACACUGGCUAUUUGAAGUGUCGACCCUUCAAGUGGCGAAGCUAACGCGUUAAGUGUCCCGCCUGGGAAGUACGACGGCAACGUUAAAACUCAAAGGAAUAGACGGGGACUCACACAAGCGGUGGACCAUGUGGCUCAAUUCGACGACAAGCGAGGAACCUUACCAGGGCUUGACACUCAGACGAAGUUCUGCUGAAAAGCGGAAUCUCUCACAAGGACGGCUGAGCAGGUGCUGCAUGGUUGUCGUCAGCAUGUGCUUUGAAGUGCAUCCUUAAAUGGAAUAACAUGCGCAACCCUUAUCCUAUGUUUAAUUUGUCAUAGGAGACUGCCUUGGAUAACAAGGAGGAAGGCGAGGAUGACGCCAAAUCAGCAUGGCCCUUUGAUGCCCUGGGCUGCACACGUGGUACAAUGGCUGCUACAAUGGGUUGCCAAGCCGCAAGGCGGAGCUAAUCCCAUCAAAAACAGUCUAAGUUCGGAUUGAGGUCUGCAACUCGACCUCAUGAAGCCGGAAUCGCUAGUAAUCGCCAAUCAGCUACGUGGCGAUGAAUACGUCCCUGAGUCUUGUACUCACCGCCCGUCACACCAAGAGAGCUGGCAGUACCCGAUAAUCCGCCUUUGGCGGAAUUAAGGUAAGGUCAGUAAUAAGGGUGAAGUCGUUAGAGUAAUCUACUUGUUG